rnacentral:tRNA from 2 species
AGGACAGUAGUUCAACUGGUAGAGCACCGGUCUCCAAAACCGGGUGUUGCGGGUUCGAUUCCUGCCUGUCCUGCCA